rnacentral:rRNA from 1 species
UUAAUUGAAGAGUUUGAUCAUGGCUCAGAUUGAACGCUGGCGGCAGGCCUAACACAUGCAAGUCGAGCGGCAGCACAGAGGAACUUGUUCCUUGGGUGGCGAGCGGCGGACGGGUGAGUAAUGCCUGGGAAAUUGCCCGGUAGAGGGGGAUAACCAUUGGAAACGAUGGCUAAUACCGCAUAACCUCGCAAGAGCAAAGCAGGGGACCUUCGGGCCUUGCGCUACCGGAUAUGCCCAGGUGGGAUUAGCUAGUUGGUGAGGUAAGGGCUCACCAAGGCGACGAUCCCUAGCUGGUCUGAGAGGAUGAUCAGCCACACUGGAACUGAGACACGGUCCAGACUCCUACGGGAGGCAGCAGUGGGGAAUAUUGCACAAUGGGCGCAAGCCUGAUGCAGCCAUGCCGCG